AAAGCAGUAGCCUAGUCUGGUAAGGCACACGCCCACGGGGCCAGUCGAGAAAUCGCGCAAGGUUCGAAUCCUUGCCUGCUCCA
rnacentral:tRNA from 1 species